rnacentral:tRNA from 1 species
GGGUAUAGCUCAAUGGUAGAGCAUAUGCUUAGCAUGCAUGAAGUCCUGGGUUCAUUCCCCAGUACCACCA